rnacentral:rRNA from 1 species
AGCGGCGGAUGGGAGAGUAACACGUGGGGAACCUGCCCCUAAGUCUGGGAUACCAUUUGGAAACAGGUGCUAAUACCGGAUAAUAAAGCAGAUCGCAUGAUCAGCUUUUGAAAGGCGGCGUAAGCUGUCGCUAAGGGAUGGCCCCGCGGUGCAUUAGCUAGUUGGUAAGGUAACGGCUUACCAAGGCGACGAUGCAUAGUCGAGUUGAGAGACUGAUCGGCCACAUUGGGACUGAGACACGGCCCAAACUCCUACGGGAGGCAGCAGUAGGGAAUCUUCCACAAUGGACGCAAGUCUGAUGGAGCAACGCCGCGUGAGUGAAGAAGGUUUUCGGAUCGUAAAGCUCUGUUGUUGGUGAAGAAGGAUAGAGGUAGUAACUGGCCUUUAUUUGACGGUAAUCAACCAGAAAGUCACGGCUAACUACGUGCCAGCAGCCGCGGUAAUACGUAGGUGGCAAGCGUUGUCCGGAUUUAUUGGGCGUAAAGCGAGCGCAGGCGGAAAAAUAAGUCUAAUGUGAAAGCCCUCGGCUUAACCGAGGAACUGCAUCGGAAACUGUUUUUCUUGAGUGCAGAAGAGGAGAGUGGAACUCCAUGUGUAGCGGUGGAAUGCGUAGAUAUAUGGAAGAACACCAGUGGCGAAGGCGGCUCUCUGGUCUGCAACUGACGCUGAGGCUCGAAAGCAUGGGUAGCGAACAGGAUUAGAUACCCUGGUAGUCCAUGCCGUAAACGAUGAGUGCUAAGUGU